rnacentral:rRNA from 1 species
CCUACGGGAGGCAGCAGUGGGGAAUAUUGCACAAUGGGCGACAGCCUGAUGCAGCAACGCCGCGUGAGCGAUGAAGGCCUUCGGGUCGUAAAGCUCUGUCCUCAAGGACGAUAAUGACGGUACCUGAGUAGGACGCCCCGGCUAACUACGUGCCAGCAGCCGCGGUAAUACGUAGGGGGCUAGCGUUAUCCGGAUUUACUGGGGGUAAGGGGUGCGUAGGUGGUUUCUUAAGUCAGAGGUGAAAGGCUACGGCUCAACCGUAGUAAGCCUUUGAAACUGGGGAACUUGAGUGCAGGAGAGGAGAGUGGAAUUCCUAGUGUAGCGGUGAAAUGCGUAGAUAUUAGGAGGAACACCAGUUGCGAAGGCGGCUCUCUGGACUGUAACUGACACUGAGGCACGAAAGCGUGGGGAGCAAACAGGAUUAGAUACCCGAGUAGUC